rnacentral:rRNA from 1 species
GCGGACGGGUGAGUAACACGUGGAUAACCUACCUAUAAGACUGGGAUAACUUCGGGAAACCGGAGCUAAUACCGGAUAAUAUUUUGAACCGCAUGGUUCAAAAGUGAAAGACGGUCUUGCUGUCACUUAUAGAUGGAUCCGCGCUGCAUUAGCUAGUUGGUAAGGUAACGGCUUACCAAGGCAACGAUGCAUAGCCGACCUGAGAGGGUGAUCGGCCACACUGGAACUGAGACACGGUCCAGACUCCUACGGGAGGCAGCAGUAGGGAAUCUUCCGCAAUGGGCGAAAGCCUGACGGAGCAACGCCGCGUGAGUGAUGAAGGUCUUCGGAUCGUAAAACUCUGUUAUUAGGGAAGAACAUAUGUGUAAGUAACUGUGCACAUCUUGACGGUACCUAAUCAGAAAGCCACGGCUAACUACGUGCCAGCAGCCGCGGUAAUACGUAGGUGGCAAGCGUUAUCCGGAAUUAUUGGGCGUAAAGCGCGCGUAGGCGGUUUUUUAAGUCUGAUGUGAAAGCCCACGGCUCAACCGUGGAGGGUCAUUGGAAACUGGAAAACUUGAGUGCAGAAGAGGAAAGUGGAAUUCCAUGUGUAGCGGUGAAAUGCGCAGAGAUAUGGAGGAACACCAGUGGCGAAGGCGACUUUCUGGUCUGUAACUGACGCUGAUGUGCGAAAGCGUGGGGAUCAAACAGGAUUAGAUACCCUGGUAGUCCACGCCGUAAACGAUGAGUGCUAAGUGUUAGGGGGUUUCCGCCCCUUAGUGCUGCAGCUAACGCAUUAAGCACUCCGCCUGGGGAGUACGACCGCAAGGUUGAAACUCAAAGGAAUUGACGGGGACCCGCACAAGCGGUGGAGCAUGUGGUUUAAUUCGAAGCAACGCGAAGAACCUUACCAAAUCUUGACAUCCUUUGACAACUCUAGAGAUAGAGCUUUCCCCUUCGGGGGACAAAGUGACAGGUGG